rnacentral:rRNA from 1 species
CCUACGGGCGGCAGCAGUGGGGAAUAUUGCACAAUGGGCGCAAGCCUGAUGCAGCCAUGCCGCGUGUGUGAAGAAGGCCUUCGGGUUGUAAAGCACUUUCAGCGGGGAGGAAGGCGUUAAGGUUAAUAACCUUGGCGAUUGACGUUACCCGCAGAAGAAGCACCGGCUAACUCCGUGCCAGCAGCCGCGGUAAUACGGAGGGUGCAAGCGUUAAUCGGAAUUACUGGGCGUAAAGCGCACGCAGGCGGUCUGUCAAGUCGGAUGUGAAAUCCCCGGGCUCAACCUGGGAACUGCAUUCGAAACUGGCAGGCUAGAGUCUUGUAGAGGGGGGUAGAAUUCCAGGUGUAGCGGUGAAAUGCGUAGAGAUCUGGGGGAAUACCGGUGGCGAAGGCGGCCCCCUGGACAAAGACUGACGCUCAGGUGCGAAAGCGUGGGGAGCAAACAGGAUUAGAUACCCGAGUAGUC